GGGGGUGAUUAGAGUGGCGCACGGGUGAGUAACACGUGGGUAAUCUGCCCUUAGGCCUGGAAUAACUUGGGGAAACUCGAGCUAAUACCGGAUGAUGCCACACUUUGAGAUAAGUGUGGGAAAAGCGGGGGAUCUCUUCGGAGACCUCGCACCAAAGGAUGAGCCCGCGGCCCAUCAGCUAGUUGGUAAGGUAAAAGCUUACCAAGGCUAAGACGGGUAGCUGGUCUGAGAGGAUGAUCAGUCACACUGGAACUGAGACACGGUCCAGACUCCUACGGGAGGCAGCAGUGGGGAAUAUUGCGCAAUGGGCGAAAGCCUGACGCAGCAACGCCGUGUGAGCGAUGAAGGCCUUCGGGUUGUAAAGCUCUGUCGGGAGUCAAGAUGGUAAUGAUUAUUAAUACUAGUCGUUAUUGACGGUAGCUCCAAAGGAAGCACCGGCUAACUCUGUGCCAGCAGCCGCGGUAAUACAGAGGGUGCAAGCGUUGUUCGGAAUUAUUGGGCGUAAAGCGAGCGUAGGCGGUGACAUGUGUCGGAUGUGAAAUCCCAGGGCUCAACUCUGGACGUGCAUUCGAAACUGUGUCGCUAGAAUCCCGGAGAGGGUGACGGAAUUCCUGGUGUAGAGGUGAAAUUCGUAGAUAUCAGGAGGAACACCUGUGGCGAAGGCGGUUACCUGGACGGUGAUUGACGCUGAGGCUCGAAAGCGUGGGUAGCAAACAGGAUUAGAU
rnacentral:rRNA from 1 species